rnacentral:rRNA from 1 species
AUUGGACGCUGGCGGCAUGCCUUACACAUGCAAGUCGAACGGUAACAGGUCUUCGGAUGCUGACGAGUGGCGAACGGGUGAGUAAUACAUCGGAACGUGCCCGAUCGUGGGGGAUAACGAAGCGAAAGCUUUGCUAAUACCGCAUAAGAUCUAAGGAUGAAAGCAGGGGACCGCAAGGCCUUGCGCGAACGGAGCGGCCGAUGGCAGAUUAGGUAGUUGGUGGGAUAAAAGCUUACCAAGCCGACGAUCUGUAGCUGGUCUGAGAGGACGACCAGCCACACUGGGACUGAGACACGGCCCAGACUCCUACGGGAGGCAGCAGUGGGGAAUUUUGGACAAUGGGCGAAAGCCUGAUCCAGCCAUGCCGCGUGCAGGAUGAAGGCCUUCGGGUUGUAAACUGCUUUUGUACGGAACGAAAAGACUCUUUCUAAUAAAGAGGGUCCAUGACGGUACCGUAAGAAUAAGCACCGGCUAACUACGUGCCAGCCGCCGCGGUAA